AGCUUAAUGAAAUAUUUAAUAUUAGGUGAAUUCUGCUCAAUGAUAUUAUUUAAAUAGCCGCAGUACUUUGACUGUGCGAAGGUAGCAUAAUAAAUUGGCUUAUAAUUGAAGUCGGGAAUGAAUGAAUAAAUGGAUAUACACUGUUUUAUAUGUAUUUAUGUUAAUUUUCUAAGUAAGUGAAAAUUCUUACAAGAUUUUUUAUUAGACGAGAAGACCCUUGAAAUUUUUAUAAUAUAAUAUACUAUAUUAUUAAUUUUUGUUGGGGCGACAAAUUCACACAUAAACUGAAUUUAUAAUAUAUAAUAAUACAAAUUUUAUUAAUUAAAGAUAAAUUACUCAAGGGAUAACAGCAUAAUUUAUUAAUAAGUUUGUGACCUCGAUGUUGGACUAGGAAAAUUUAAGUUUAGAAGAUUUAAAAUUUAAGUUCUGUUCGAACUAUUAUUUCCUACAUG
rnacentral:rRNA from 1 species